GGCAGCAGGAAAUGUAUCCUAAAUAACAUUUCCUACUAGUAAUGUGAAGACGUGAGUCGUGACAUAGUAUACAAUUAUGACAUCUUACAGAGAGUUCUAGAAAACUCUGGUCUCACUCCUGUAGUUACAAUAAAUACCCAGGAUUCCGAGUAAGUGGCAAAAUACACUCUCACCCGGGCUACCUUGCACCUACUGAGUGAAGUUACGUCCUGACUGGCUGCAAAUUCUUCCUCUGGGCUCGGCAGAGUUGGAACUUCUGCUGGAGGAAGCUGACUCAUUCACAAACCAAAUCCCCAGUCAUAAGCCUCACGCUCUGGUCAACAGAGCUGGCCUGGGCCAGUGAGCUCUCUGCGGAAAGCACAGUCAGGCAUACCCUGUUCCCUUGCACUUUGCUUUGCCUACUUUACACAGACUGUGCUUACAGAACUGAAGGUUUGUGGCAACCUUGCAGCAGGCGAAUCUGUCGGCAGCAUUUUUCCAACAGCACAUGCUCACUUCUUGGCUCUGCGUCAUAUUUGCCAAUUCUCACAAUAUUUCAAGUUUUUCAUUAUUAUUAUAUGUGUUAUGGUGAUCUGUGUUCAGGGAUUACCACAUGUCGCAAGCUCAGAUGACAGCAUUUUUUAGCAAUAAAGUACUCUUUAAUUACAAUAUAUAGACUGCUUUUGUAGACACAAUGCUGUUGCGCACGUAAUAGACUACAGCAGAGUGCAAACAUAACUUUUAUAUACACUGGAAAACCAAACCACUCAUUUGACUCGCUUUAUUGUGACACUCGUGCUUCUGUGGGGGUCUGGAACCACACCUGUAAUAACUCCGAGGUAUGCCUGAAUCGGUUUUAAAACCAGUCAACUAUUAGAAGAAUAAAGCAUCUGUGGAUCUGGGAUGUUGGCGUCCCACCCCUUUCCUUCCCAGUCUGUUUGAAAACAGCCAAGAAGAGAACUUCAAGAAGCUUCUAUGCUUAUUUCUCAGACUGAAUAGUACUCAUCAUUCUUAUUCUGACAUGAUUCACUAAAAAUUGUUCACCUUGGUUGCAGAGUAGAUGGCCAACAGUGGGACUGGGGCCAUGCCACUGGCAGAGGAGAUGUUCAGAAUUGCCCCUUUAGACCUAAAAAGGAAAAUGCACCAAGUAAACCGAAUGAAAUCAUAUAUACGAUGGUUUGUAAAUUACAGAUGGAGAUACAGAAUGAUUUUAAACAGAAGAGGAGAGCUGUCUUUCUAACACACAUCUCUCCGCGCCUUUCAUCAGCACCUGAUAUCCGUGGUCAGUGAAUGAGGCAUAACUCAAUCAACUAAAAAUAGCUCUUGUUUGCCAUGAGCUCAUUCCUGUGUUAGUAAUCCAGGGCAUGACCAGAUCAGAGCCACAGUCUCCUCAGUCGAUCGCUCCUGUAGGAGGUCUCCUCUGGCCGCUUCACCAAGAAUCCUCGCUUUUAGAAACACUCUCAUAGUCCUUGCGCACCUUUAUUUUGGCCUGCCGUCACAUACUGCCUUGCUGUCCUGUUUAAUCAUCACAUGUGUUUUUCACAUGUUUCGCACGUUUUUCUCCCUCAACAAAACUAUAAGUUUCUGUACAUCAUAGUCUUUGUCUUCAGCUUUUCCUCAAAACUACCCUGCACAGUCCUGAGCACGUAACAGGUGCUUAAUAAAGCCACUGGCGCGAGUGAAUGGCUAGGUUCUGCCCUCCUGCUUCCUUCAGGCUGGAGGAUGGGAUGUCCCCUUCAGCUACUGCGAACAACCCUACCUACCUCCCAGCCUCCAGAAAUAUUUUGAAGAAAGAAAAUGUAUUCAGCUUUACCAAGGUAAAAUCUGCUAUGCAAGUGCUCCCAACCCAGAUGUUAAGCUGGGAGCUGCUGCAUACACUUUUCCGGGAAAAACAAGUUCAAACUGAUACUGCAUCAUGGAAGACAAACUGACACACUGCCAACUUCGAAACAAAGAAGUGUCUUCAAAGCCUAGGGGAAUCAUGUCAACAGAAAUUUCUGGAUUUGACUGAAUCUAAGGGCCCAGAUUAAAAAAAAAAAAAAAAAAAAAGAAGAAGCCAUGAGAAAGCAUUUGGCCUAAAGCAUCCCAUGUCUCCCUCCUUCUUAUGUACAAGUCUACGUUUUUCAUGUUAAUAAGCUCAUCUUCACAGAAUGAGGGGCAUGUGCUCUAUGACUAUAUUCUACAGCGUGAGAUGUGAUCAGAAGUAACACCUGCAACUUCUUGAUCAUGGCCUUAAAGGAGAGAAAAACACACAUCCUCUUCUUUACACAUUCCUCCUCCUGAUGGCUGGAAUGUAGCCGUGGUACAAGGAGCUAAAACAACCCACUUAACCCCCAAGAUAAGAGCCGUGUGAUAAUGGUGGCUGAGCAACGAGAUGCAGAGGCAGGAUCCCUAAUGACUGGGGAACUACCCUGCCAAACCCUGAUUACCUACCCAGCUUUUUAUCUGAGAGAAAGAUACAUUUCAAUUUUGUUUAAGCCACCGGUUUGCUGACCUGAUUCAAGAUAUGCCCUCAGAGCCUCGAACCAAACUGGAUGGAGCCAAGGCAGAGAAAAAGCUGAUUUCAGAGUUGAUCCUUUCAAAUUAAAUAACUCUUCGAACUUCUUACAUGCUUCCCAAGAUGUGCCUUCUUAUGGGAGCACACAGUAAUUGCUCAACAUAUAGCUACUGAAUGUUCCGACAAGUGUGGUACACAGCAGGCCCCGUUCAAAUCCCAGCCCUUCCACUUACUAGCGGUGUGACCUGGGGUUACUUCCUUUUCUGCAGAGUGCAUAUGGAUUCAACAAAGGACACUUACACAACAUAGGUUUUUAUAUUUUGAAUCUCAAAUGAGGUAAUGUAUAUAAUGGACCCAGCACAGAGCUUGUCACAGAGCAAGCCUCUGAAGAGAAAUCAACAUCCCUUACUGCCACCACAUACUCUUCUUUCAGGAUGCAGCACCACCAAGUAUGCAGGCCUCUUGUACAUAUGUUGUAUCCAACACAGUCCAGAGCCAAAAACAAUGAUAAAGUUUGAGAUCAUCAAGUUCAACCCACAACACAAGUUUCUGGACAGUUCCAUCAUUCCAUCAGUACUUAAGAAUACCUCAGUUGGGAUCUUCUUGGGGUAAUGGAAUUUUUCUAAAAUUGGAUUCAGUGAUAA